UACGGGGGGGGCAAGCGUUGUUCGGAAUUACUGGGCGUAAAGGGCGCGUAGGCGGCCAUCUAAGUCAGACGUGAAAUCCCCCGGCUUAACCUGGGAACUGCGUCUGAUACUGGACGGCUCGAGUAUGGGAGAGGGAUGUAGAAUUCCAGGUGUAGCGGUGAAAUGCGUAGAUAUCUGGAGGAAUACCGGUGGCGAAGGCGGCAUCCUGGACCAUUUACUGACGCUGAGGCGCGAAAGCUAGGGGAGCAAACGGG
rnacentral:rRNA from 1 species